GCGGCACUGUUGGUGGGUGGGACUUUGCAGUCCCGGUUCUGUUCGGAGCUCUGUUACUCAGCGCCGGCGUUCCCUAGUCCUUCGGUUUUCUUGCUGCCCAAGAUGAGUGAGGUUUCAUUUGCUCUUAUCUACUGAGGCUUUUCAAAUUGAAGAUGAGGUCACUGGUUGAAGAUCUUUUUUGUUUUAUAACAUAAGCACCAGGUGCUCACUACGUACCCAGGCCAGCCUGGAAUUUGGCAUUCCCGCCUUAUCCUCCCGAAUGCUGGGAUUAUAGGUGAGCAC